CCUACGGGCGGCAGCAGUGGGGAAUAUUGGACAAUGGGGGGAACCCUGAUCCAGCCAUGCCGCGUGUGUGAAGAAGGCCCUCGGGUUGUAAAGCACUUUCAGUGAGGAAGAACGCCUGGUGGUUAAUACCCAUCAGGAAAGACAUCACUCACAGAAGAAGCACCGGCUAACUCCGUGCCAGCAGCCGCGGUAAUACGGAGGGUGCGAGCGUUAAUCGGAAUUACUGGGCGUAAAGCGCGCGUAGGUGGCUUGAUAAGCCGGUUGUGAAAGCCCCGGGCUCAACCUGGGAACGGCAUCCGGAACUGUCAAGCUAGAGUGCAGGAGAGGAAGGUAGAAUUCCCGGUGUAGCGGUGAAAUGCGUAGAGGUCGGGAGGAAUACCAGUGGCGAAGGGGGCCUUCUGGACUGACACUGACACUGAGGUGCGAAAGCGUGGGUAGCAAACAGGAUUAGAUACCCUUGUAGUC
rnacentral:rRNA from 1 species